rnacentral:rRNA from 1 species
GACGAACGCUGGCGGCGCUCCUAACACAUGCAAGUCGAGCGAGAAGCGGGACUUCGGUCCCGUGGAGAGCGGCGAACGGGUGCGUAACACGUGAGCAACCUGCCCCGAAGACCGGGACAACCGAUGGAAACGUCGGCUAAUACCGGAUGCCCUCACCGGAUCGCAUGGUCUGGUGAGGAAAUGGAUUCCGCUUCGGGAUGGGCUCGCGGUCUAUCCGCUUGUUGGUGGGGUAACGGCCCACCAAGGCGACGACGGAUAGCUGGUCUGAGAGGACGAUCAGCCACACUGGGACUGAGACACGGCCCAGACUCCUACGGGAGGCAGCAGUGGGGAAUCUUGCGCAAUGGGGGAAACCCUGACGCAGCGACGCCGCGUGCGGGAUGAAGGCCUUCGGGUUGUAAACCGCUUUCAGCAGGGACGAAAUUGACGGUACCUGCAGAAGAAGGCCCGGCCAACUACGUGCCAGCCGCCGCCGUAAGAC